GACGAACGCUGGCGGCGUGCUUAACACAUGCAAGUCGAACGGGUCUGCCCUGUUUUUUGCGGGGUGGGUCAGUGGCGAACGGGUGAGUAACACGUGAGUAACCUGCCCCUCACUUCUGGAUAACCGCUUGAAAGGGUGGCUAAUACGGGGUGUUCUGGCUGUGCCGCAUGGUGUGGCUGGGAAAGAUUCACUUUUGUGGUGUUUUGGUGGAGGAUGGGCUCGCGGCCUAUCAGCUUGUUGGUGGGGUGAUGGCCUGCCAAGGCUUUGACGGGUAGCCGGCCUGAGAGGGUGGGCGGUCACACUGGGACUGAGAUACGGCCCAGACUCCUGCGGGAGGCAGCAGUGGGGGGUAUUGCACAAUGGGCGGAAGCCUGAUGCAGCGACGUCGCGUGAGGGAUGGAGGCCUUCGGGUUGUGAACCUCUUUCGCCGGUGAAGAAGGUCCUGCUCUUUGUGGUGGGGUUGACGGUAGCCGGGUUAUGAAGCGCCGGCUAACUACGUG
rnacentral:rRNA from 1 species